rnacentral:rRNA from 1 species
AACGCGAAGAACCUUACCAGCUUUUGACAUGGGACGUAUAAGGGUUAGAGAUGGCUCUUUUCAGUUUGGCUGGCGUUCACACAGGUGCUGCAUGGCUGUCGUCAGCUCGUGUCGUGAGAUGUUGGGUUAAGUCCCGCAACGAGCGCAACCCUUGCCGUUAGUUGCCAUCAGGUUGGGCUGGGCACUUUAACGGGACUGCCGGUGAUAAGCCGGAGGAAGGUGGGGAUGACGUCAAGUCCUCAUGGCCCUUAUAGGCUGGGCUACACACGUACUACAAUGGCGGUGACAAAGGGGAGCGAAGGAGCGAUCUGGAGCGAAUCCUUAAAAGCUGUCUCAGUUCGGAUUGUUCUCUGCAACUCGAGAGCAUGAAGUCGGAAUCGCUAGUAAUCGUAGAUCAGCAUGCUACGGUGAAUACGUUCCCGGGCCUUGUACACACCGGCUAC